rnacentral:rRNA from 1 species
UACGUAGGGGGCUAGCGUUGUCCGGAUUUAUUGGGCGUAAAGAGCGUGUAGGCGGCCAGGUAGGUCCGUUGUGAAAACUCGAGGCUCAACCUCGAGACGUCGGCGGAAACCCUCUGGGCUAGAGUCCGGAAGAGGAGAGUGGAAUUCCUGGUGUAGCGGUGAAAUGCGCAGAUAUCAGGAAGAACACCCGUGGCUAAGGCGGCUCUCUAGUACGGUACUGACGCUGAGACGCGAAAGCGUGGGGAGCGAACAGG